rnacentral:rRNA from 1 species
GGAUCCAGACUUUGAUUCUGGCUCAGGAUGAACGCUAGCUACAGGCUUAACACAUGCAAGUCGAGGGGAGACGAUAUUGGAAGCUUGCUUCCGAUAGGCGUCGACCGGCGCACGGGUGAGUAACGCGUAUCCAACCUGCCCAUCACUUGGGGAUAACCUUGCGAAAGUAAGACUAAUACCCAAUGACGUCCAUAGAAGACAUCUGAAAUGGAUUAAAGAUUUAUCGGUGGUGGAUGGGGAUGCGUCUGAUUAGCUUGUUGGCGGGGUAACGGCCCACCAAGGCGACGAUCAGUAGGGGUUCUGAGAGGAAGGUCCCCCACAUUGGAACUGAGACACGGUCCAAACUCCUACGGGAGGCAGCAGUGAGGAAUAUUGGUCAAUGGGCGAGAGCCUGAACCAGCCAAGUAGCGUGCAGGAAGACGGCCCUAUGGGUUGUAAACUGCCUUUAUAAGGGAAUAAAGUGAGUCUCGUGAGGCUUUUUGCAUGUACCUUAUGAAUAAGGACCGGCUAAUUCCGUGCCAGCAGCCGCGGUAAUACGGAAGGUCCGGGCGUUAUCCGGAUUUAUUGGGUUUAAAGGGAGCGUAGGCCGGAGAUUAAGCGUGUUGUGAAAUGUAGACGCUCAACGUCUGCACUGCAGCGCGAACUGGUUUCCUUGAGUACGCACAAAGUGGGCGGAAUUCGUGGUGUAGCGGUGAAAUGCUUAGAUAUCACGAAGAACUCCGAUUGCGAAGGCAGCUCACUGGAGCGCAACUGACGCUGAAGCUCGAAAGUGCGGGUAUCGAACAGGAUUAGAUACCCUGGUAGUCCGCACGGUAAACGAUGGAUGCCCGCUGUUGGUCUGAAUAGGUCAGCGGCCAAGCGAAAGCAUUAAGCAUCCCACCUGGGGAGUACGCCGGCAACGGUGCAACUCAAAUGAAUUGACGG